rnacentral:rRNA from 1 species
CCUACGGGUGGCAGCAGUGGGGGAUAUUGCACAAUGGAGGAAACUCUGAUGCAGCGACGCCGCGUGAGGGAAGACGGUCUUCGUAUUGUAAACCUCUGUCUUUGGGGAAGAAAAUGACGGUACCCAAAGAGGAAGCUCCGGCUAACUACGUGCCAGCAGCCGCGGUAAUACGUAGGGAGCGAGCGUUGUCCGGAAUUACUGGGUGUAAAGGGAGCGCAGGCGGGAAGCCAAGUCAGCUGUGAAAACUACGGGCUUAACUUGUAGACUGCAGUUGAAACUGGUUUUCUUGAGUGAAGUAGAGGUUGGCGGAAUUCCGAGUGUAGCGGUGAAAUGCGUAGAUAUUCGGAGGAACACCGGUGGCGAAGGCGGCCAACUGGGCUUUAACUGACGCUGAGGCUCGAAAGUGUGGGGAGCAAACAGGAUUAGAUACCCCAGUAGUC